GAUGAACGCUAGCGGCAGGCUUAACACAUGCAAGUCGAACGGUAACAGAAGAGCUUGCUCUUGCUGACGAGUGGCGAACGGGUGCGUAACGCGUAUACAACCUACCUUUAACUGGGGGAUAGCCCAUGGAAACGUGGAUUAAUACCGCAUAACAAUGUAAAUUCGCAUGUUUUUACAUUUAAAACUUCGGUGGUUAAAGAUGGGUAUGCGUGACAUUAGCUAGUUGGUGAGGUAACUGCUCACCAAGGCUACGAUGUCUAGGGGGCCUGAGAGGGUGAACCCCCACACUGGUACUGAGACACGGACCAGACUCCUACGGGAGGCAGCAGUGAGGAAUAUUGCACAAUGGAGGAAACUCUGAUGCAGCCAUGCCGCGUGCAGGAUGAAUGCCCUACGGGUUGUAAACUGCUUUUAUAUAGGAAGAAACCUUUCUACGUGUAGAGAGCUGACGGUACUAUAAGAAUAAGGACCGGCUAACUCCG
rnacentral:rRNA from 1 species